rnacentral:misc_RNA from 1 species
GUGAAUCAUCGAAUCUUUGAACGCACAUUGCGCCCCCUGGCAUUCCGGGGGGCAUGCCUGUCCGAGCGUCAUUUCUGCCCUCAAGCACGGCUUGUGUGUUGGGUGUGGUCCCCCCGGGGACCUGCCCGAAAGGCAGCGGCGACGUCCGUCUGGUCCUCGAGCGUAUGGGGCUCUGUCACUCGCUCGGGAAGGACCUGCGGGAGUUGGUCACCACCACAUUUUACCACGGUUGACCUCGGAUCAGGUAGGAGUUACCCGCUGAACUUAAGCAUAUCAAUAAGCGGAGGA